UACGUAGGGGGCAAGCGUUGUCCGGAAUCAUUGGGCGUAAAGAGCGCGUAGGCGGUCCGGUAAGUCCGCUCUGAAAGUCCGGGGCUCAACCCCGGGAGGCGGGCGGAUACUGUCGGGCUAGAGUCCGGAAGAGGCGAGUGGAAUUCCUGGUGUAGCGGUGAAAUGCGCAGAUAUCAGGAGGAACACCGAUGGCGAAGGCAGGUCUCUGGGCAUUAACUGACGCUGAGGAGCGAAAGCAUGGGGAGCGAACAGG
rnacentral:rRNA from 1 species